rnacentral:lncRNA from 1 species
UGCAGCCAUCUCAGAGGAAGCCAUAAUCGGCUGCUUAGGGAUGCAGGAUAUCAGCAGUUCCGCUCCUCAGCAGUGGUAGCUAGAGCCACUUGCAAACACCAUUCACGAAUCAGUGACAGCAGUUCCAUCCAGAAGAAACCUCGAGGCUCUGCCAAUUGGGAGUCUGUGAGGCCAGAAUAUCACGAGACGCUUGUUGGUUCUCUCCACAAAGUCAUGAAGACACAGGAUGAUCAGUGAGGAAGGUAAGACGAACCAAUGCUACAGGGUUGUCAGCGAAGACCAGAGUUAGCAGAAUCCAGUGAAGACCAGCA